AGAAACCACUGGAAGUGCCUUUGAUAAAGGCUGAGACCGAAGUAAUAACUGAGGGAUUCCUAGAACCUGAUCCAGUUCGCACUGGCGUAGGAAAGUGGCGUUUUCUAUGA
rnacentral:ncRNA from 2 species